GGCGGCGGAGAGCCCUUGGUCGCCUACGACCCAUGCCAGUCGAUGUUGUGUGCUCCUGCUGAGUCCAGCAUUGGUGAGGCCGGCGACGCUCCGGUGAAUGCCCAAUUAGAGUUGGACAUCACUUGCGAGGGAGUUGCCCUGACGGCACCAGCCUCGGAGCAAUCUGCAGGCAGAGACAAGCCGGAAGCCCCAGCCUGGACGAAGAGGAUCCGUGUCAGUCGUUCACCUACUGAACGACCGCCUUGUGCUGCCAGGAUGAGUGCUUUGGAAGCAACAUUAUGCAGAUAUGCAGAAAAAAAACUGACACUAUCAUAGUUCCUGUUGUGGGAAGCAACUUUGAUUCACUGGGAGAAGCCUACGAUUAGUACAAUCUCUAUUCUUGGGAGAUUGGGUUUGGAGUAAGAUAUGGAAAGAGCAGGCUAAAUGUCGAAAGAACAAAAUGUAUGCAAGAGAUAGUUUGUGGCUGCUAUGGAAUCCCAAAAAAGAGCAACACACGGACUUGUCGAUGCAGAUGCCCCGCAAUGAUAAGAUUGCUUCGAUCAAGCGAUAAUGGGUGGUACAUAAAUGAGUACAGGCCAGAUCACAACCAUGCACAUACUGAAAAAUAUGGUGAGAAGGUAUACUGGCCAUGCUGUCUGCAGAACAGUGGACAAACAAUCGAAUCAUUUGUUUGGGUCCAUAACUCCUGCAGACA